UACGAAGGGUGCAAGCGUUACUCGGAAUUACUGGGCGUAAAGCGUGCGUAGGUGGUUUGUUAAGUCUGUUGUGAAAGCCCCGGGCUCAACCUGGGAAUGGCAAUGGAUACUGGCAGGCUAGAGUGCGGUAGAGGGUAGUGGAAUUCCCGGUGUAGCGGUGAAAUGCGUAGAGAUCGGGAGGAACACCAGUGGCGAAGGCGGCGCUCGUACGGGCGAACUGACGCUGAGGAGCGAAAGCGUGGGGAGCAAACAGG
rnacentral:rRNA from 1 species